UUUGCAAAUAUGUCGUUUGGAAUCACCCCCCGGAUUUCAAAUUUGGAUUUCGCGCUUUAAUUCAUUGUAGAGACCAAGAGGGAAAGCAUGAAGUUGUUUGCCAUGAACCACAAUUCUGGCCUAAGCCCUAACAAACCAAAUGAACUAAGCUAGUGCCAUAGAUUAAGAGAACCAUCACUGGACGAAGGAACCAAUUCUAGACAUUUUUCGAUGGAUGAACAUGUUGGUUGUAGUUUGGAGCCUUGGAACGAUGCAGGUUAUUAGGCCGGUUGUUAAUGCAUUUCAGUGCCGGGUAUUCCUCGACUGAUCCGACAUGUCUGCACUGUUGUGUCAGCAAUAGAUAAACAUGUUGGCUAUAGCUUGGAGCCUUGGCCAAUUAUAUGAUAUUAGUCUUAAUUAGUUCAUUUGGCAGCCGCCUUUGUUUCAAUUUUUAUCCAAUGCCAACAUUGGGUACUGGUCUGCUGCACAUGCGAUGAAUGUGAUUUGUGGACACCAAAUGUUCUAUUUCUAAAAAAGAUAAUCAAAUUUCAAUCAUUUUUUCAUACAUAUUUCUAAGUAAAAACUUUCGAAGAAAAAAUCUACACAACCACCUCAAUGAAGUGACCAAAUAUAUGUGCCAUUUCCAAUAAAUCUUAUAAACAAUUUAAUCCAAAAUCAUGAGUACAUAUAGCUUCACAGCAACAUGCAGGAAGGUCGCAUGCUAUGCUUUAUUCUGUCUAUGGCCUAUUGUCACAAA
rnacentral:lncRNA from 1 species